UUUUUCCUGACCACGUUGUUUCUCUCUCACAGAAUCGAUCCCCAAUCUCGUAGAAUCCCCAGUCUCGCACAAAAUGCCGCCGCUCGUUUCCCUCACGCCGAUGAGUUCUCCCUCACCGGCCGCCGCCCCUUCCCCAAACUCCUACUCGCUGGAUCGGCCGCGUCGCCACAGAGCUAGGCACCCCAACCAGCAGGGCCACCACGGCCUCCCCUCCUCUACUCCCACUGCUCUCCUUGCCUCCCGUCUCCCCGAGCUGCGCGGGCGCCGAUCGCUUCCCCCCUGCCGAAUCCGGCCAUCGCGCCGCCGGGUCGCCUCUCCUUCCCGUCCUCUCCACCCUCCGUCCCUCCAAACUCAGAUCCGGACCUCAAACACAUACCCGAAGGCCGGCGACGGCAGAAGCCAUGGUUAACUCCUCCCCGAAUCGUCUCUCCUCUCCCAAUUUCGCGUUGGAGUUCCUGAAGCUUGAUUGUAUUGGAGUUUCUCGCUGCACCGCCAUCCCCAAUCUCGGCCUCUCUCCUCUCCGAUCUCGUAUGCGCCCACCUCCCUUUCUCAUUCGAGGCCGAAGAUCCCUGCCCUUCGCCCCCCUCCCUUUCUCAUUCGAGGACGACGCUGCAGCCUCAGAGGCCCCGGCUGCUUCCCCGCGUCACCGCUACCCAAGGCGAGGAGACGCCGCCCCAUUCGCCUACCCUCACACCCGUGAGGACAGGGGAGUGAUGUAGUGUUUCUUUGAGCUGAGAUUUAAGAGAUGCUAAUUCAAAGUUAAGCUGGCUACAUCUAGUCCGGUGGGUACCUGUGAAGCCCUUCUAGUGAUUCAUGAAGCCCCUUCCAUUACUCCUUCGUGAGCUGGGUUCAAAGCUAACUGCUAGUUGAGGCAAUUAAUUAAAGGUGCUAACAGCUAGUGAAGUCCUGUACAUUUUCAUAGGAUUUGAGUGGUCCGGGCAUUCUAUUUAGUUCCUGUUCCUAUGAAUUGUAAACCGAAGAGGGCUGUAAUCAUAUAUUCAAGAACAUAUAUGGAUAAUCGAUCUCAUACCUGGGCUUGCGAUUCC